UUAAGCUGAUGAUAAACCAUUUUCAGUUCUGCUUCUGAGAACAAAUGAAGAUAACAAAAUUUACCAAAACCUUCUGACAU
rnacentral:snoRNA from 1 species